GCAGGUCAUUGUUUGAGUAUGGGAUUUCUGAUUAUUUGGUAGUCACUGAACGCAUCACUGUGCCUUGCGCAUAGCCACUCCCUAGUUUAGCCACAGAGUUUUUUCCUCCGUUCGUCCGAUGAGGUGCAUGCUGCUCUCGUGCCCUCUGCGAGCUGGAAAUUUGGGUACAGUAGACAUUUGAGUUGUUGUAAAUAGUUUUAAAAACCCUUUAUAUGUGAAGCUAAUGUUUUAAUAUGUUGUUUGAAAAAGAGUCUUGUAGCGGUACGAGCGUGAAGCUGAGCUGAAUUCGACAGCCAUUCGCCAUUACAUGAACCCCUCUGGCUGGUUUGUUUGCCCUUUCGAUACCCUGGAUCCUACUGGAUGAACUGCCUUGUGGAAGUCCUCAUCUGAUGACUCCGCUGAGCCGUCCUGGCUAGUAGAUGGUCUUUGCUGAGGACGGAUGCUUCUGUUGCUGGAUGCUAUUAUUGGAUGCUACCCCGUUCCAACAGAGCGGUAGGAACAAUUUAAAGGGCCCCAACAGUGCACUUUACUUUUCCCUGAGCUCAGGUGGUUUUCUUUUGGCCAAAGGACCUUGAAGGAUAUAUAUUUGCGUUUAUUUUUUAUUUUUUUUCCUUGGGACACUGAGUGGAAAGACACUACGAAAAAAGGCCUUAUUAUUUAAAAUUGUGUUUAAUAAAUGUGUUUAUGUUAA